rnacentral:rRNA from 1 species
GUGGGGAAUAUUGGACAAUGGGGGGAACCCUGAUCCAGCCAUGCCGCGUGUGUGAAGAAGGCCUUUUGGUUGUAAAGCACUUUAAGCGAGGAGGAGGCUACCGAGAUUAAUACUCUUGGAUAGUGGACGUUACUCGCAGAAUAAGCACCGGCUAACUCUGUGCCAGCAGCCGCGGUAAUACAGAGGGUGCAAGCGUUAAUCGGAUUUACUGGGCGUAAAGCGCGCGUAGGUGGCCAAUUAAGUCAAAUGUGAAAUCCCCGGGCUUAACUUGGGAAUUGCAUUCGAUACUGGUUGGCUAGAGUAUGGGAGAGGAUGGUAGAAUUCCAGGUGUAGCGGUGAAAUGCGUAGAGAUCUGGAGGAAUACCGAUGGCGAAGGCAGCCAUCUGGCCUAAUACUGACACUGAGGUGCGAAAGCAUGGGGAGCAAACAGGAUUAGAAACCCCAGUAGUCC